GACGAACGCUGGCGGCGUGCUUAACACAUGCAAGUCGAGCGGUAAGGCCCUUUCGGGGGUACACGAGCGGCGAACGGGUGAGUAACACGUGGGUGACCUGCCCUCAGCUCUGGGAUAAGCCUGGGAAACCGGGUCUAAUACUGGAUAUGACUCCAUGACGCAUGUUGUGGGGUGGAAAGCCUUGUGCGGCUGAGGAUGGGCCCGCGGCCUAUCAGCUUGUUGGUGGGGUGANGGCCUACCAAGGCGACGACGGGUAGCCGGCCUGAGAGGGCGACCGGCCACACUGGGACUGAGACACGGGCCCAGACUCCUACGGGAGGCAGCAGUGGGGAAUCUUGCGCAAUGGGCGAAAGCCUGACGCAGCGACGCCGCGUGAGGGAUGACGGCCUGGUGU
rnacentral:rRNA from 1 species